CAGACUGAAGGAGGAGGCGUCCAGGUAAUCAGACCCAUAAUAACCCAGCAUGAAAAUGCCACAACAGGUAAGAAAUGAGGAGGAAGCCAAAGCAGGGAGGAUAGCUCCACAAAGUCUUGCCACGAAUUCAGCUAACAGAUGGAGUAACAAUGAAC
rnacentral:lncRNA from 1 species